ACUUUAAUGGAACGAAAUCGGCACCGAUAAAAUAAUAAAGGGUGACCAAAGGGG
rnacentral:sRNA from 1 species